GAUGAACGCUGGCGGCGUGCUUAACACAUGCAAGUCGAACGAACUGUUCUAGAGGAAGUUUUCGGAUGGAAUCUAGGAUAGUUAGUGGCGAACGGGUGAGUAAUGCAUCGGAACGUGCCCAGUCAUGGGGGAUAACUACGCGAAAGCGUAGCUAAUACCGCAUACGCCCUGAGGGGGAAAGGUGGGGGAGUCUUCGGACCUCGCGCGAUUGGAGCGGCCGAUGUCGGAUUAGCUAGUUGGUGGGGUAAAAGCCCACCAAGGCGACGAUCCGUAGCGGGUCUGAGAGGAUGAUCCGCCACACUGGGACUGAGACACGGCCCAGACUCCUACGGGAGGCAGCAGUGGGGAAUAUUGGUCAAUGGACGCAAGUCUGAACCAGCCACGUCGCGUGAAGGAAGACGGCCCUACGGGUUGUAAACUUCUUUUAUACGGGAAUAAAGUGCCCCACGCGUGGGGUUUUGCAUGUACCGUAUGAAUAAGGAUCGGCUAACUCCGUGCCAGCAGCCG
rnacentral:rRNA from 1 species